rnacentral:rRNA from 1 species
AUUGAACGCUGGCGGCAGGCCUAACACAUGCAAGUCGAGCGAGCGGCGGACGGGUGAGUAAUGUAUGGGGACUGCCCGAUAGAGGGGGAUAACUACUGGAAACGGUAGCUAAUACCGCAUACUAUCGGAUAACCCAUAUGGGAUUAGCUAGUAGGUGAGGUAAUGGCUCACCUAGGCGACUAUCCCUAGCUGGUCUGAGAGGAUGAUAAGCCACACUGGGACUGAGACCCGGCCUGGACUCCUACGGAGGCAUCAGUGGGGUAUAUUGCACAAUGGGCGCAAGCCUGAUGCAGCCAUUCCGCGUGGAUGAAGAAUGCCCUAGGGUUGUAAAGUACUUUCAGUCGGGAGGCGUUACCGACAGAAGAAGCACCGGCUAACUCCGUGCCAGCAGCCGCGGUAAUAC